rnacentral:rRNA from 1 species
AGAGUUUGAUCCUGGCUCAGAACGAACGCUGGCGGCGCGUUUUAAGCAUGCAAGUCGGACGGUAGAGGGAAGCGAUUCUCUUGAGAGUGGCGAACGGGUGAGUAAGACGUAGGUGAUCUGACCUGGGGAUGGGGAUAGCCUGUGGAAACACGGGGUAAUACCGGAUACGCUCAUAGAGGUAAGGCUUUAUGAGGAAAGGCGCGGGUGCGUCGACCUGGGGGGAGCCUGCGGUCCAUUAGUUAGUUGGUGGGGUAAGAGCCUACCAAGGCGACGAUGGAUAGCCGGCCUGAGAGGGUGAACGGCCACACUGGGACUGAGAUACGGCCCAGACUCCUACGGGAGGCAGCAGCUAAGAAUCUUCCGCAAUGGGCGAAAGCCUGACGGAGCGACGCCGCGUGGACGAUGAAGGCCGAAAGGUUGUAAAGUCCUUUUCUCUGUGAAGAAUAAGGGGGGGAGGAAAUGCCCCUGUGAUGACGUUAGCAGAGGAAUAAGCCCCGGCUAAUUACGUGCCAGCAGCCGCGGUAAUACGUAAGGGGCGAGCGUUGUUCGGAAUUAUUGGGUGUAAAGGGCGCGUAGGCGGUUUAGCAAGUCUGGUGUGUAAGGCUACAGCUUAACUGUAGUUAGGCACUGGAAACGGCUGAGCUGGAGUGCAGGAGAGGGAGCUGGAAUUCCAGGUGUAGGGGUGAAAUCUGUAGAGAUCUGGAAGAACACCGGUGGCGAAGGCGAGCUUCUGGCCUGCAACUGACGCUGAGGCGCGAAAGCGUGGGGAGCGAACAGGAUUAGAUACCCUGGUAGUCCACGCUGUAAACGAUGUACACUAGGUGUUGGUCCAAGAGGAUCGGUGCCGGAGCAAACGCGUUAAGUGUACCACCUGGGGAGUAUGCCGGCAACGGUGAAACUCAAUGAAUUGACGG